UUAUGUCUUCAUCCAAUGGUGGGAUUAAGAUUCAAUGGUCAAUUAUGGUAGCCAUCCUCUAACCCAAUCCAAUUGGUUUAAACCAACUCUCCAUUAUGUCUUCAUCCAACGGUAGAUCAAGAUCUAACGGUCUAGAUUGAAUGAUUUAUUAAAUCUAAUCCAAUUAGACUCAAACCAAGCCAAUUAGGUGCCAACUCUUGGCUAACCCAUAUUAGAAUAUGAUCUAAUCAAAUUAGAUCAAUUAAGAAUCAGAUUCGAAUCCAAUUCGAAUCAGGAGCUAAGGUUUGCAACACCUGCUAGGAUGUUUAUCUUGCAAACAUGAUCUAAUCCAAUUAGACCCUUGAUAAGUUUCCUUGUGUGUGACCCAUUGGGUUUCAUACUUAGCCAGCAAUAGGUGUGAGUGCGAGUUGACCCAACUUGAUUAGAACUCUUCUAAUCGAUUUAAGUCCAAACUGCGCGAACCCGAAUUUAACAAUUAGAAUCCUUUUUAAUUGGUGAUCGAAUUAAACUC
rnacentral:lncRNA from 1 species